rnacentral:rRNA from 1 species
GACGAACGCUGGCGGCAUGCCUAACACAUGCAAGUUGAACGGCAUCAGCAAUGAUGUAGUAGCGCACGGGUGAGUAAUGCAUGGGAACGUGUCCUUUAGUGGGGGAUAUUCUCUGGAAACGGGGAGCAAUACCGCAUAAGCCCUAAGGGGGAAAGAUUUAUCGCUGAAGGAGCGGCCCAUGUUAGAUUAGCUAGUUGGUUAGGUAAAGGCUGACCAAGGCGAUGAUCUAUAGCUGGUUUGAGAGGAUGAUCAGCCACACUGGGACUGAGACACGGCCCAGACUCCUACGGGAGGCAGCAGUUAGGAAUAUUGGACAAUGGGGGGAACCCUGAUCCAGCCAUGCCGCGUGAGUGAAGAAGGCCCUCGGGUUGUAAAGCUCUUUUGUUAGGGAAGAUGAUGACGGUACCUAAAGAAUAAGCACCGGCAAACUUCGUGCCAGCAGCCGCGGUAAUACGAAGGGUGCAAGCGUUGUUCGGAAUUACUGGGCGUAAAGGGCAUGUAGGCGGAUAUCUUAGUCAGGAGUGAAAUCCCGGGGCUCAACCUCGGAACUGCUUUUGAAACGGGAUAUCUAGAGUGUGAUAGGGGACAAUGGAAUACCCAGUGUAGAGGUGAAAUUCGUAGAUAUUGGGUGGAACACCGGAGGCGAAGGCGAUUGUCUGGGUCACAACUGACGCUAAGGUGCGAAAGCGUGGGGAUCAAACAGG